ACGGGAGGCAGCAGUGAGGAAUAUUGGUCAAUGGGCGGAAGCCUGAACCAGCCAAGUCGCGUGAAGGAUGAAGGUAUUAUGUAUUGUAAACUUCUUUAGUCGCAGAGAAAUAAGGGGAUCGUGAUCCCUGAUGCUAGUAUGCGAAGAAUAAGGAUCGGCUAACUCCGUGCCAGCAGCCGCGGUAAUACGGAAGAUCCGAGCGUUAUCCGGAUUUAUUGGGUUUAAAGGGAGCGUAGGCGGGCUUUUAAGUCAGUGGUCAAAGCGUGUGGCUCAACCAUACCACGCCAUUGAUACUGGAUGCCUUGAGUGCACAUAAGGAUGGUGGAAUUCAUGGUGUAGCGGUGAAAUGCUUAGAUAUCAUGAAGAACUCCGAUUGCGAAGGCAGCUGUCCGGGGUGUAACUGACGCUAAUGCUCGAAAGUGCGGGUAUCAAACAGGAUUAGAUACCCUGGUA
rnacentral:rRNA from 1 species